rnacentral:rRNA from 1 species
UACGUAGGUGGCAAGCGUUGUCCGGAUUUACUGGGUGUAAAGGGCGUGUAGCCGGGCUGACAAGUCAGAUGUGAAAUCCGGGGGCUCAACCCCCGAACUGCAUUUGAAACUGUUGGUCUUGAGUACUGGAGAGGCAGACGGAAUUCCUAGUGUAGCGGUGAAAUGCGUAGAUAUUAGGAGGAACACCAGUGGCGAAGGCGGUCUGCUGGACAGCAACUGACGGUGAGGCGCGAAAGCGUGGGGAGCAAACAGG